CAGGGCAUGCCUAGUACGGCGAGUGAAGCGGCAACAGCUCAAAUUUGAAAUCUGGCUCUCGGGCCCGAGUUGUAAUUUGUAGAGGAUACUUUUGAUGCGGUGCCUUCCGAGUUCCCUGGAACGGGACGCCAUAGAGGGUGAGAGCCCCGUCUGGUUGGAUGCCAAAUCUCUGUAAAGUUCCUUCGACGAGUCGAGUAGUUUGGGAAUGCUGCUCUAAAUGGGAGGUAUAUGUCUUCUAAAGCUAAAUACCGGCCAGAGACCGAUAGCGCACAAGUAGAGUGAUCGAAAGAUGAAAAGCACUUUGAAAAGAGAGUUAAAAAGUACGUGAAAUUGUUGAAAGGGAAGCGUUUAUGACCAGACUUGGGCUUGGUUAAUCAUCUGGGGUUCUCCCCAGUGCACUUUUCCAGUCCAGGCCAGCAUCAGUUUUCCCCGGGGGAUAAAGACUUCGGGAAUGUGGCUCUCUUCGGGGAGUGUUAUAGCCCGUUGUGUAAUACCCUGGGGGGGACUGAGGUUCGCGCAUCUGCAAGGAUGCUGGCGUAAUGGUCAUCAACGACCCGUCUUGAACCAGGGGAACAACAAA
rnacentral:rRNA from 1 species